UACGGAGGGGGCUAGCGUUGUGCGGAAUUACUGGGCGUAAAGCGCACGUAGGCGGCUUUGCAAGUUAGAGGUGAAAGCCCGGAGCUUAACUCCGGAAUUGCCUUUAAAACUGCAUCGCUAGAAUUGUGGAGAGGUGAGUGGAAUUCCGAGUGUAGAGGUGAAAUUCGUAGAUAUUCGGAAGAACACCAGUGGCGAAGGCGACUCACUGGACACAUAUUGACGCUGAGGUGCGAAAGCGUGGGGAGCAAACAGG
rnacentral:rRNA from 1 species